rnacentral:rRNA from 1 species
UACGUAGGGUGCAAGCGUUAAUCGGAAUUACUGGGCGUAAAGCGUGCGCAGGCGGUUCGUUAAGUUCGUUGUGAAAGCCCCGGGCUCAACCUGGGAAUGGCAUUGGAGACUGGCGGGCUUGAGUGUGGCAGAGGGGGGUGGAAUUCCGCGUGUAGCAGUGAAAUGCGUAGAGAUGCGGAGGAACACCGAUGGCGAAGGCAGCCCCCUGGGCUGACACUGACGCUCAGGCACGAAAGUGUGGGGAGCGAACAGG